rnacentral:rRNA from 1 species
GAACGCUGGCGGCGUGCCUAAUACAUGCAAGUCGAACGGUCUUUCUAUGGAAGCUUGCUCCACUGAGAAGAUAGUGGCGAACGGGUGAGUAACACGUGGGUAACCUGCCCAUAAGAGGGGGAGUAACAUCCGGAAACGGGUGCUAAUACCGCAUAGUUUUCUUGAUCGCAUGAUCGGGAAAGGAAAGACGGCCUUUGUGCUGUCGCCUAUGGAUGGACCCGCGGCGUAUUAGUUAGUUGGUGAGGUAACGGCUCACCAAGACGAUGAUACGUAGCCGACCUGAGAGGGUGAUCGGCCACAUUGGGACUGAGACACGGCCCAAACUCCUACGGGAGGCAGCAGUAGGGAAUCUUCCGCAAUGGACGAAAGUCUGACGGAGCAACGCCGCGUGAGUGAAGAAAGGUUUUCGGAUCGUAAAACUCUGUUGUCAGAGAAGAACAAGUUGGAGAGUAACUGCUCCAGCCUUGACGGUAUCUGACCAGAAAGCCACGGCCAACUACGUGCCAGCCGCCGC